rnacentral:rRNA from 1 species
GACGAACGCUGGCGGCGUGCCUAAUACAUGCACGUCGAACGCAGUGGGGACGGGUGAGUAACACGUGGGUAACCUCCCAUCAGAGGGGAUAACACUUGGAAACAGGUGCUAAACCGAUACAGAUGGAUGGACCCGCGGUGCAUUAGCUAGUUGGUGAGGUAACGGCCCACCAAGGCGACGAUCAGUAGCGGGUCUGAGAGGAUGAUCCGCCACAAUGGGACUGAGACACGGCCCAGACUCCUACGGGAGGCAGCAGUGGGGAAUUUUGGACAAUGGGCGCAAGCCUGAUCCAGCCAUGCCGCGUGUCUGAAGAAGGCCUUCGGGUUGUAAAGGACUUUCGGUAGCGAGGCGUUAACUACAGAAGAAGCACCGGCUAACUCCGUGCCAGCAGCCGCGGUAAUUC